GGGCCCGCACAAGCGGUGGAGCAUGUGGUUUAAUUCGAUGAUACGCGAGGAACCUUACCAGGGCUUAAAUGUAGUGGGACAGGUCUAGAGAUAGACCCUUCUUCGGACUCAUUACAAGGUGCUGCAUGGUUGUCGUCAGCUCGUGCCGUGAGGUGUCAGGUUAAGUCCUAUAACGAGCGCAACCCCUAUCGUUAGUUGCCAGCGGGUAAUGCCGGGAACUCUAGCGAAACUGCCGGUGCAAACCGUGAGGAAGGUGGGGAUGACGUCAAAUCAUCACGGCCCUUACGUCCUGGCUACACACGUGGCUACAAUGGGGAAUACAGACGGACGCUAAGCCGCGAGGUGGUG
rnacentral:rRNA from 1 species